rnacentral:rRNA from 1 species
UACGUAGGGGGCGAGCGUUGUCCGAAGUUACUGGGCGUAAAGCGCGCGUAGGCGGCUAUUAAGUUGGAUGUGAAAUCUUCGGGCUCAACCCGGAAACCGCAUCCAAAACUGUUAGCCUUGAGGUAUGGAGAGGGAAGUGGAAUUCCUGGUGUAGCGGUGAAAUGCGUAGAUAUCAGGAGGAACACCCGUGGCGAAGGCGGCUUCCUGGCCAUAUCCUGACGCUGAGGUGCGAAAGCUAGGGGAGCGAACGGG